rnacentral:rRNA from 1 species
AACGAACGCUGGCGGCAUGCCUAAUACAUGCAAGUCGAACGAUCUCUUCGGAGGUAGUGGCGCACGGGUGCGUAACGCGUGGGAAUCUGCCCUUGGGUUCGGAAUAACAGCUGGAAACGGCUGCUAAUACCGGAUGAUGACGUAAGUCCAAAGAUUUAUCGCCAAGGGAUGAGCCCGCGUAGGAUUAGCUAGUUGGGGGGUUAAAGGCUUACCAAGGCGACGAUCCUUAGCUGGUCUGAGAGGAUGAUCAGCCACACUGGGACUGAGGCACGGCCCAGACUCCUACGGGAGGCAGCAGUAGGGAAUAUUGGACAAUGGGGGCAACCCUGAUCCAGCAAUGCCGCGUGAGUGAUGAAGGCCUUAGGGUUGUAAAGCUCUUUUACCCGGGAUGAUAAUGACAGUACCGGGAGAAUAAGCCCCGGCUAACUCCGUGCCAGCAGCCGCCGUAACAC